rnacentral:rRNA from 1 species
UACGAAGGGUGCUAGCGUUGUUCGGAAUUACUGGGCGUAAAGGGCGCGUAGGCGGUUUUAUAAGUCAGAUGUGAAAGCCCUGGGCUUAACCUAGGAUGUGCAUUUGAUACUGUAUGACUGGAGUACAAGAGAGGAAGAUGGAAUUGCGUGUGUAGAGGUGAAAUUCGUAGAUAUACGCAGGAACACCGGUAGCGAAGGCGAUCUUCUGGCUUGAUACUGACGCUAAGGCGCGAAAGCGUGGGGAGCAAACAGG